UGAGUUUUGAUCAUGGCUCAGAGCGAACGCUGGCGGCAGGCUUAACACAUGCAAGUCGAACGGGCGUAGCAAUACGUCAGUGGCAGACGGGUGAGUAACGCGUGGGAACGUACCUUUUGGUUCGGAACAACACAGGGAAACUUGUGCUAAUACCGGAUAAGCCCUUACGGGGAAAGAUUUAUCGCCGAAAGAUCGGCCCGCGUCUGAUUAGCUAGUUGGUGAGGUAAUGGCUCACCAAGGCGACGAUCAGUAGCUGGUCUGAGAGGAUGAUCAGCCACAUUGGGACUGAGACACGGCCCAAACUCCUACGGGAGGCAGCAGUGGGGAAUAUUGGACAAUGGGCGAAAGCCUGAUCCAGCCAUGCCGCGUGAGUGAUGAAGGCCCUAGGGUUGUAAAGCUCUUUUGUGCGGGAAGAUAAGACGGACGAAGAAUAAGCCGGCAUC
rnacentral:rRNA from 1 species